rnacentral:rRNA from 1 species
GACGAACGCUGGCGGCGUGCUUAACACAUGCAAGUGGAGCGACGAACCGGGGCUUGCCCCGGGGCAGAGCCGCGAACGGGUGAGUAACACGUGGGUAACCCACCCCGAUGAUUGGGACAACCCGGGGAAACUCGGGCUAAUACCAAAUGUGCUCGGCGACCAUGAGGUCUCUGAGUAAAGAUAGCUUCGGCCUUCGCAUCGGGACGGGCCCGCCGGCCCGACUUAGCUUGUUGGUUGAGGUAACGGCGUCACCAAGGCGUGCGAUGGGUAGCUGGUCUGAGAGGACGAUCAGCCACACUGGGACGU